GAUGAAGAACGCAGCGAAAUGCGAAAAGUAAUGUGAAUUGCAGAAUUCAGUGAAUCAUCGAAUCUUUGAACGCACAUUGCGCCCGCUGGUACUCCGGCGGGCACGCCUGUCCGAGCGUCAUUUCAACCCUCAAGCCCUCCUUCGGGAUGGGCCUGGUGUUGGGGCUCGGCCGCCAUCUCCGGCGGCCGUCCCCUAAAUACAGUGGCGGUCACGUCGCGACUCCUUUGCGUAGUAGAAACACCUCGCUCCGGAUAGCAACGCGGUCCACGCCGUAAAACCCCCAAUUUUCAAUGGUUGACCUCGGAUCAGGUGGGAAUACCCGCUGAACUAAGCAUAUCAAUAAGCGGAGGA
rnacentral:misc_RNA from 1 species